rnacentral:rRNA from 1 species
UACAGAGGGUGCGAGCGUUGUCCAGAAUCACUGGGCGUAAAGGGCGCGUAGGCGGCCUGCUAAGUAGAGGGUGAAAUCCUGCGGCUCAACCGCAGGGCUGCCUUCUAAACUGUCAGGCUGGAGCACGGUAGAGGCAGAUGGAAUUCCCGGUGUAGCGGUGGAAUGCGUAGAGAUCGGGAAGAACACCAGUGGCGAAGGCGGUCUGCUGGGCCGUUGCUGACGCUGAGGCGCGACAGCGUGGGGAGCAAACAGG